CAGCAGCCACGGUAAUACGUAGGGUGCGAGCGUUAAUCGGAAUUACUGGGCGUAAAGCGUGCGCAGGCGGUGAGUUAAGUCUGCUGUGAAAUCCCCGGGCUCAACCUGGGAAUGGCAGUGGAUACUGGCAAGCUAGAGUGUGUCAGAGGAUGGUGGAAUUCCCGGUGUAGCGGUGAUAUGCGUAGAGAUCGGGAGGAACAUCUGUGGCGAAGGCGGCCAUCUGGGACAACACUGACGCUGAGGCACGAAAGCGUGGGGAGCAAACAGGAUUAGAUACCCGUGUAGUCCCUGUCUCUUAUAC
rnacentral:rRNA from 1 species